CUAUACAUACUGUAAUUAAGAUUUGCUAAGAACUUGAGCCAGUCCAAUUUUUGUUUUUACUUUUUUUUUUUAAGAUCAAUUAUGAGUUUCUGAGAAUUACAACUGCUCCACUUCAGGCAAGAUUGCUGGUUUCCUUGGACAAGCAACACUACAAACUCAUUGAGAGAAGACCAGAGAUAUAAUCUUCAUCUUCAAGUUCUUGAUCUGAGCCUGGAGGUGAAUGUAUGAAGAGAGUAUCUCCUGAAAUGUCUUAUGGUGUAUUUAGUGGAAGAAGUGGACCAACUGUUUAAACACUGGUUGUUCAGAAAGGUGAAGCUCAGGCUGAACUUGAGAGGUGCACGAUGGCCCUGUUUGUCCUCAGGGAGGAAGAGGACUGUCUUCAGCCACCACAGGAAGUCAGUCGCACAUGAAUGUUCCAUGUUUGGCUUUAUCUAUGCGUUAAACUUGAGCUAUCCUGGUGAGCUCAAACACACAUUUGUGGCCCGGCAGAAAAUAUUUAG